rnacentral:misc_RNA from 1 species
GAUGAAGAACGUAGCGAAAUGCGAUAAGUAAUGUGAAUUGCAGAAUUCAGUGAAUCAUCGAAUCUUUGAACGCACAUUGCGCCCCUUGGUAUUCCGAGGGGCAUGCCUGUUCGAGCGUCAUUAUAACCCCUCAAGCUCAGCUUGGUGUUGGGGCCUGCCGCACGGGCAGCCCUUAAAAUCAGUGGCGGUGCCAUCUGGCUCUAAGCGUAGUAAUUCUUCUCGCUAUAGAGUCCCGGUGGAUGCUUGCCAUUAACCCCCAAUUUUCUAUGGUUGACCUCGGAUCAGGUAAGGAUACCCGCUGAACUUAAGCAUAUCAAUAAGCGGAGA